AGAUUAUACUACUGUCUACAGUGAGGCUGCUGGAGUUUGACUAACAUAUAAAUAUGGAUAUCAAUGAGCCCUUAUAGUAGAUGUUGAUGACAGUUAGUCCACUGUAGGGGUAGGGUGCACAUCAAGAUAGGAUCUAUCAACCUUGAUAGAAAGGAGUAGUCCUAUGAGAUUUAAGAAGUUAAGUCUAAGAAUCUGUAGCCACAGUAGUGUGAUUGAUAGAAAAAUUUUUUUAUAGAAGUCAUAGC
rnacentral:lncRNA from 1 species